AGAGUUUGAUCCUGGCUCAGAACGAACGCUGGCGGCAGGCCUAACACAUGCAAGUCGAACGAUGCCUUCGGGCAUAGUGGCGCACGGGUGAGUAACACGUGGGAACAUACCUUUUGGUGGGGGAUAACUUCGGGAAACUGAAGCUAAUACCGCAUACGCCCCUUGGGGGAAAGAUUUAUCGCCGAAAGAUUGGCCCGCGUCCGAUUAGCUAGUUGGUGAGGUAAUGGCUCACCAAGGCUCCGAUCGGUAGCUGGUCUGAGAGGAUGACCAGCCACACUGGGACUGAGACACGGCCCAGACUCCUACGGGAGGCAGCAGUGGGGAAUAUUGGACAAUGGGCGCAAGCCUGAUCCAGCCAUGCCGCGUGAGUGAUGAAGGCCUUAGGGUUGUAAAGCUCUUCACCCACGACGAUGAUGACGGUAGUGGAGAGAG
rnacentral:rRNA from 1 species